UAAGGGCGCACGGUGGAUGCCUUGGCACUAGAAGCCGAUGAAGGACGUUACUAACGACGAUAUGCUUUGGGGAGCUGUAAGUAAGCUUUGAUCCAGAGAUUUCCGAAUGGGGAAACCCAGCAUGAGUUAUGUCAUGUUAUCGAUAUGUGAAUACAUAGCAUAUCAGAAGGCACACCCGGAGAACUGAAACAUCUUAGUACCCGGAGGAAGAGAAAGAAAAUUCGAUUCCCUUAGUAGCGGCGAGCGAAACGGGAAGAGCCCAAACCAACAAGCUUGCUUGUUGGGGUUGUAGGACACUCUAUACGGAGUUACAAAGGACGACAUUAGACGAAUCAUCUGGAAAGAUGAAUCAAAGAAGGUAAUAAUCCUGUAGUCGAAAAUGUUGUCUCUCUUGAGUGGAUCCUGAGUACGACGGAGCACGUGAAAUUCCGUCGGAAUCUGGGAGGACCAUCUCCUAAGGCUAAAUACUCUCUAGUGACCGAUAGUGAACCAGUACCGUGAGGGAAAGGUGAAAAGCACCCCGGAAGGGGAGUGAAAUAGAACCUGAAACCGUGUGCUUACAAGUAGUCAGAGCCCGUUAAUGGGUGAUGGCGUGCCUUUUGUAGAAUGAACCGGCGAGUUACGAUUUGAUGCAAGGUUAAGCAGUAAAUGUGGAGCCGUAGCGAAAGCGAGUCUGAAUAGGGCGUUUAGUAUUUGGUCGUAGACCCGAAACCAGGUGAUCUACCCUUGGUCAGGUUGAAGUUCAGGUAACACUGAAUGGAGGACCGAACCGACUUACGUUGAAAAGUGAGCGGAUGAACUGAGGGUAGCGGAGAAAUUCCAAUCGAACCUGGAGAUAGCUGGUUCUCUCCGAAAUAGCUUUAGGGCUAGCCUCAAGUGAUGAUUAUUGGAGGUAGAGCACUGUUUGGACGAGGGGCCCCUCUCGGGUUACCGAAUUCAGACAAACUCCGAAUGCCAAUUAAUUUAACUUGGGAGUCAGAACAUGGGUGAUAAGGUCCGUGUUCGAAAGGGAAACAGCCCAGACCACCAGCUAAGGUCCCAAAAUAUAUGUUAAGUGGAAAAGGAUGUGGCGUUGCCCAGACAACUAGGAUGUUGGCUUAGAAGCAGCCAUCAUUUAAAGAGUGCGUAAUAGCUCACUAGUCGAGUGACACUGCGCCGAAAAUGUACCGGGGC
rnacentral:rRNA from 1 species